CAAACGGGUGAGUAACACGUGGGCGACCUACCUUCGAUGGGGGAUAACCUUCCGAAAGGAGGGCUAAUACCGCAUGACAUCCCGUGUUUGGAUACACGGUGAUCAAAGCCGGGGAUCGCAAGACCUGGCGCUUGAAGAGGGGCCCGCGUCCGAUUAGCUUGUUGGUGAGGUAACGGCUCACCAAGGCUCCGAUCGGUAGCCGGCCUGAGAGGGCGGACGGCCACACUGGGACUGAGACACGGCCCAG
rnacentral:rRNA from 1 species